rnacentral:rRNA from 1 species
AGCUGCAGAAGAAGCACCGGCUAACUCCGUGCCAGCAGCCGCGGUAAUACGGAGGGUGCGAGCGUUAAUCGGAAUUACUGGGCGUAAAGCGCAUGCAGGUGGUUUGUUAAGUCAGAUGUGAAAGCCCGGGGCUCAACCUCGGAAUUGCAUUUUGAAACUGGCAGACUAGAGUACUGUAGAGGGGGGUAGAAUUUCAGGUGUAGCGGUGAAAAUGCGUAGAGAUCUGAAGGAAUACCGGUGGCGAAGGCGGCCCCCCUGGACAGAUACUGACACUCAGAUGCGAAAGCGUGGGGAGCAAACAGGAUUAGAUACCCUGGUAG